AACGCACAUUGCGCCCCCUGGUAUUCCGGGGGGCAUGCCUGUUCGAGCGUCAUUUCAACCAAACCAGCCCCGCUGGGUGUUGGGCGUCGCGGUCCGCCGCGCGCCUCAAAGUCUUCGGCGGAAGCCGCCCGUUCCUCUGCGUGAUGCAUCGUCGUCGCUCGGGAUACGGGGGUGAGCGCCCGGAAAUCGUCGGCGGAGACGCCGACUUCAAGGUUGACCUCGGAUCAGGUAGGGAUACCCGCUGAACUUAA
rnacentral:misc_RNA from 1 species